rnacentral:rRNA from 1 species
CCUUACAGCCAUACCACUCUGAACGUGCCUAAUCUCAGAAGCUAAGCAGGGUCGGGCCUGGUUAGUACUUGGAUGGGAGUUACACUUUCUAUAUGAGUUUGCUAACAGAACUUGACACAAAAGCCUUUGUGAAGU